UCACUGGGAGUUUUCUCUCCGUGUUGCACCCCCUUGUUGGUCACGUCCCGUGUCACAGGGGCCAGCGUGGGUUUGGCCCGGAGCUGCUCUGCCCUGCUGCAUAGUCUGGCAUUAUAGACGCAGAUCGAUUCUAUCUGUGGUGGAGCGCUCCAUACUAGGUGAGGGGGUUCGCACAGGAAGGAGGUAAAGCCGGAUCUCAGCAGUCAAUGUCAAGUGAGCGAGGCGGUCCACUUGCAUUACGCCGAACCCCCUCGCAGAACGGCCGACGGACCCGGCUCGCCGCCCUCGUGACCCCUCCGCAAGUAUCGCAAAGCUCUGCGAUGAAGCCUUGACCUUUUCCACGUGACGGUGCCGUCCGGGUAGCCUUCGGCAACGGCCGAGGAGUUGCGGCGAGUCGGGGAGGGAGGGAGGAGCGAGGGUCCACUCGGGUUUCAGCAAUGCCACAUGGCCUGUCUCCUCGUAGCUCAGGUAUAGCCUGCCACGGUGGCGUCAGCCUCGGAGCGCGGCCGAAGCGUGCGGCCCGAGGACCCCGGCCAUCUUAGGAGAUGCCGACUAAGAGACAACAGCCCGAUGACGGCAGGAGCUUCCCAGACGGUGAGCGGCCUUCUUUUGCACCUGAGGAGGAUUCGCAUCCCUGGAUGUCCGAGAGAUAAGUUGAGGGGAUGCAAGCGGGGUGUCGGGUCGGGGCUCGCCGGGAGGGAAUA